UGAAUACAUAGGGUAAGGAGGCGAACCGGGGGAACUGAAACAUCUAAGUACCCCGAGGAAAAGAAAUCAACCGAGAUUCCGAAAGUAGCGGCGAGCGAAAUUGGACUAGCCCUUAAGCUUUACACGCGUUAGACGAACGGUCUGGAAAGUCCGACGAUACAGGGUGAUAGUCCCGUAGUUGACGACGUGUGUUCAGUGAAAUCGAGUAGGGCGGGACACGUGAUAUCCUGUCUGAAUAUGGGGGGACCAUCCUCCAAGGCUAAAUACUACUGACUGACCGAUAGUGAACCAGUACCGUGAGGGAAAGGCGAAAAGAACCCCUGUGAGGGGAGUGAAAUAGAACCUGAAACCGUGUACGUACAAGCAGUAGGAGCAGGCUUUGUCCUGUGACUGCGUACCUUUUGUAUAAUGGGUCAGCGACUUAUAUUCAGUGGCAAGGUUAACCAUCUAGGGGAGCCGUAGGGAAACCGAGUCUUAACUGGGCGUUCAGUCUCUGGAUAUAGACCCGAAACCAGGUGAUCUAGCCAUGGGCAGGUUGAAGGUUGAGUAACAUCAACUGGAGGACCGAACCGACUAAUGUUGAAAAAUUAGCGGAUGACUUGUGGCUAGGGGUGAAAGGCCAAUCAAACCUGGAGAUAGCUGGUUCUCCCCGAAAGCUAUUUAGGUAGCGCCUCGGACGAAUACUACUGGGGGUAGAGCACUGUUAAGGCUAGGGGGUCAUCCCGACUUACCAACCCUUUGCAAACUCCGAAUACCAGUAAGUACUAUCCGGGAGACACACGGCGGGUGCUAACGUCCGUCGUGGAGAGGGAAACAACCCAGACCGCCAGCUAAGGUCCCAAAUUACUACUAAGUGGGAAACGAUGUGGGAAGGCUCAGACAGCCAGGAUGUUGGCUUAGAAGCAGCCAUCAUUUAAAGAAAGCGUAAUAGCUCACUGGUCGAGUCGGCCUGCGCGGAAGAUGUAACGGGGCUAAGUAGUAAACCGAAGCUGCGGCAAUGUGCUUUUGCACAUUGGGUAGGGGAGCGUUCUGUAAGCGGUUGAAGGUGUGUGGUAACGCAUGCUGGACGUAUCAGAAGUGCGAAUGCUGACAUGAGUAACGAUAAAGGGGGUGAAAAACCUCCUCGCCGGAAGACCAAGGGUUCCUGUCCAACGUUAAUCGGGGCAGGGUAAGUCGACCCCUAAGGCGAGGCCGAAAGGCGUAGUCGAUGGGAAACGGGUUAAUAUUCCCGUACUUCUUACAAUUGCGAUGGGGGGACGGAGAAGGCUAGGUGGGCCUGGCGACGGUUGUCCAGGUUCAAGUGCGUAGGCUUAAGAGUUAGGUAAAUCCGGCUCUUUUUAAGGCUGAGACACGACGUCGAGCAUCUACGGAUGUGAAGUCAUUGAUGCCAUGCUUCCAGGAAAAGCCUCUAAGCUUCAGAUUGUAAGGAAUCGUACCCCAAACCGACACAGGUGGUCGGGUAGAGAAUACCAAGGCGCUUGAGAGAACUCGGGUGAAGGAACUAGGCAAAAUGGUACCGUAACUUCGGGAGAAGGUACGCUCUCGACGGUGAAGUCCCUCGCGGAUGGAGCUAUUGAGAGUCGCAGAUACCAGGUGGCUGCAACUGUUUAUUAAAAACACAGCACUGUGCAAAAUCGUAAGAUGACGUAUACGGUGUGACGCCUGCCCGGUGCCGGAAGGUUAAUUGAUGGGGUUAGACUUCGGUCGAAGCUCUUGAUCGAAGCCCCGGUAAACGGCGGCCGUAACUAUAACGGUCCUAAGGUAGCGAAAUUCCUUGUCGGGUAAGUUCCGACCUGCACGAAUGGCGUAAUGAUGGCCACGCUGUCUCCACCCGAGACUCAGUGAAAUUGAAAUCGCUGUGAAGAUGCAGUGUACCCGCGGCUAGACGGAAAGACCCCGUGAACCUUUACUACAGCUUGGCACUGAACAUUGACCCUACAUGUGUAGGAUAGGUGGGAGGCUUUGAAGCACGUACGCCAGUAUGUGUGGAGCCGUCCUUGAAAUACCACCCUUGUAGUGUUGAUGUUCUAACGUCGACCCCUUAUCGGGGUUGCGGACAGUGCCUGGUGGGUAGUUUGACUGGGGCGGUCUCCUCCCAAAGAGUAACGGAGGAGCACGAAGGUGGGCUAAUCACGGUUGGACAUCGUGAGGUUAGUGCAAUGGCAUAAGCCCGCUUGACUGCGAGAAUGACAAUUCGAGCAGGUGCGAAAGCAGGUCAUAGUGAUCCGGUGGUUCUGAAUGGAAGGGCCAUCGCUCAACGGAUAAAAGGUACUCCGGGGAUAACAGGCUGAUACCGCCCAAGAGUUCAUAUCGACGGCGGUGUUUGGCACCUCGAUGUCGGCUCAUCACAUCCUGGGGCUGAAGUCGGUCCCAAGGGUAUGGCUGUUCGCCAUUUAAAGUGGUACGCGAGCUGGGUUUAGAACGUCGUGAGACAGUUCGGUCCCUAUCUGCCGUGGGCGUUGGAAGAUUGAAGGGGGCUGCUCCUAGUACGAGAGGACCGGAGUGGACGAACCUCUGGUGUUCGGGUUGUGUCGCCAGACGCAUUGCCCGGUAGCUAAGUUCGGAAUCGAUAACCGCUGAAAGCAUCUAAGCGGGAAGCGAGCCCUGAGAUGAGUCUUCCCUGAUACUUUAAGUAUCCUAAAGGGUUGUCGGAGACUACGACGUUGAUAGGUCAGGUGUGUAAGUGCUGUGAGGCAUUGAGCUAACUGAUACUAAUUGCCCGUGAGGCUUAACCAUACAACACCCAAGGGGUUU
rnacentral:rRNA from 1 species